rnacentral:rRNA from 1 species
UACAGAGGGUGCAAGCGUUGUUCGGAAUUAUUGGGCGUAAAGCGCUUGUAGGCGGUCUGUUAAGUCGCGUGUGAAAUCCCCAGGCUUAACCUGGGAAGUGCGCGCGAAACUGGCGGACUUGAGUGCCGGGGAGGGUCGCGGAAUUCCCGGUGUAGAGGUGAAAUUCGUAGAUAUCGGGAGGAACACCAGUGGCGAAGGCGGCGACCUGGACGGGCAUUGACGCUGAUGAGCGAAAGCUAGGGGAGCAAACGGG